UCUAGGUUGUUAUAGACAUUCUGGAGCAAUGCAUAGUAAUGGUGUUCAUGACAUUAAAAGGUUAACAUCGGCUCUUUGUUCAGAGAAAUGUAAAAUGAUACCAUAUUUUGCACUAAAAUACAACUGGUGUGUUUGUCUAAAUUCCCUUUACAAUAUGGAUGAUGCCGAUUCAUCAAAGUGCACGUACAGAUGUAAAGGUUCAGACAAUGAUGUAUGUGGAGAUAGAACUCAUUUUACAGUAUACAAGCAUAUUACUGAAAAAUUCAAACCAAAAAGUGAUGUCAAUCAAAAACUUGCCUGCUCUGUUAUUGUGCCUAGAAAUGAAACGUUUGAACUAAAAGCUGUUGACUGCACUAAAAAAUACUGGACAGAUUGUGU